CUCUUAAUCACAACCGUCCAUUUAGAUUACCACAAACCCUCCCUCAUUCAUCCAACGGCCAAAAAUCAUCCUCUUAUUUUUCAUAAUUAAAAAAUUGAAAAAAUUUAUAAUUUUUUUUUUAAUUUUAAUUUUUAGUAGUUGACCCAUGAAAACAAGUAAGCUUGUUAAAAGAUCAUAACACUGUUGCAUGCUGAUUUUGUUCAGUAGAGAGAGAGAGUAUGGAGUUGGGUGGCUUUUGUGAUCAAGGAGAAGCCAUUGAAAGUUAAAUUCAUUUUUUUCUUAAUCAAAAUGUUUUAAUAUUCUUCUCCACUAUCCACUUAAUCAAACUGGAAUUGAAAUUCAAGUCUCAAAACCAAACCUGGUGAUGCCAAACUACAAAAUGUUGAAAUAUCUCAAGAUAUGUACUAGAAAUUGGUUGCCUUGCUAGGGAAGUCAGAAGCUGAAUCCAGUAAUGGCACUAUAUUGUGAAUGAUUCUUCACCGGGUACUGGUCUUGCAUCAAUUUAUUUCACUAUGUUGUUUCUUUUAGAUUGGCUGCAUUAUGUAAAACAUAAUAGAGUGUACAAGAAGUUUUGGUGAAGAAAGAACACAUGUGGGAUCAAAUAUUCUAGCAUGUGUGUAACAUUUGAUCUUUGUCAAUAGGUCAAUAUUGUAGCUGUUUUGAGCAUAUUUUCUGAUUGUGAUUCAA